rnacentral:rRNA from 1 species
GAUGAACGCUAGCGGCAGGCUUAACACAUGCAAGUCGAGGGGUAACAGGGAAGAGCUUGCUUUUCUGCUGACGACCGGCGCACGGGUGCGUAACGCGUAUAGAACCUACCUUUUACAGGGGAAUAGCCCAGAGAAAUUUGGAUUAAUGCCCCAUAGUAUUAUUGAAUGGCAUCAUUUAAUAAUUAAACAUUUAUGGGUAAAAGAUGGCUAUGCGUUCUAUUAGCUAGAUGGUAAGGUAACGGCUUACCAUGGCAACGAUAGAUAGGGGUCCUGAGAGGGAGAUCCCCCACACUGGUACUGAGACACGGACCAGACUCCUACGGGAGGCAGCAGUGAGGAAUAUUGGACAAUGGAGGCAACUCUGAUCCAGCCAUGCCGCGUGCAGGAAGACGGUCCUAUGGAUUGUAAACUGCUUUUAUAUAGGAAGAAACCUUUCCACGUGUGGAAAGCUGACGGUACUAUAAGAAUAAGCACCGGCUAACUCCGUGCCAGCAGCCGCGGUAAUACGGAGGGUGCAAGCGUUAUCCGGAAUCAUUGGGUUUAAAGGGUCCGUAGGCGGACUAAUAAGUCAGGGGUGAAAUCCAACAGCUUAACUGUUGAACUGCCUUUGAUACUGUUAGUCUUGAGUUAUAUGGAAGUAGAUAGAAUAUGUAGUGUAGCGGUGAAAUGCUUAGAGAUUACAUAGAAUACCGAUUGCGAAGGCAGUCUACUACGUAUAUACUGAC